GAUGUGGGUUAACCUGGAUGUUUGAUGAAGCUCCUCUCCUUCUCCAGUCAUUGAUUACUACUUCCAUUAAUUUAGGUGAUGGUAUAGAAUACAGCCAGCAGAAGCGUGAAAAUAUUGGAGUUCUCAUCCGAGAGACAUUGGAACUCUUUGAACGCUACGGUGGAGAAAAUGCUUAUAUAAACAUUAAAUACAUGAUUCCCACUUACUGGUCGUGCAUGUAAACUGAGUUAUAUUAAAUGGGAUGAUUCCAUCUGUGCUCUGAAAAAACUAUCUGACUCUGUAUGGCAUCUUGUUAGUCAUGCUUUAUCUUCUCUACAGCUGCUAAAAUAGUGGCUUCUGGGGCAUUGGAGUGCUAGCACUAUUGUGAACAAGGCUUUCCAAUACAUAAAUAGUGUCUGUUCCUUUGA